rnacentral:rRNA from 1 species
CAGUAGCCGCGGGAAUACGUAGGGUGCAAGCGUUAAUCGGAAUUACUGGGCGUAAAGCGUGCGCAGGCGGUUAUAUAAGACAGAUGUGAAAUCCCCGGGCUCAACCUGGGAACUGCAUUUGUGACUGUAUAGCUAGAGUACGGCAGAGGGGGAUGGAAUUCCGCGUGUAGCAGUGAAAUGCGUAGAUAUGCGGAGGAACACCGAUGGCGAAGGCAAUCCCCUGGGCCUGUACUGACGCUCAUGCACGAAAGCGUGGGGAGCAAACAGGAUUAGAUACCCGUAGUCCCUGUCUCUUAUACAC